CUCUGCACUCCGUACUCAGACCGCGCGCGCACAGGAGUGCACUGAUCAUCUCCCCGGAACAGUCGGACCUGUUCAAAUCGUGCAAUUCGCAUACAACUUUCUUUUUCUUAGUUAGAGGAGGCUGGAAAAAAUAAAGUGCACAACUCUCUUUUUUUGUAUCAGUCAGGGGAGAGGGGUUUAACUGUUGUCGGAUAUCACAUCGUCAGUCGCCGUUGCCAUGCAAGUUCACACCGCCAGCCUCUUGAUGUGUGGAGUGUCGGUGGUGCUGACCAUGUUUAAUGUAUCAGAGGAUCCGGCUCACUGCCCGCUUGGCUACUUCCCCUGUGGAAACCUCAGUACCUGUCUUCCUCAGCUACUACACUGCAAUGGUGUGGAUGACUGUGGAAAUCAGGCAGACGAGGAGAAUUGUGGGGACAAUAAUGGUUGGCCACAUCUCUUUGAUAACUAUUUUGGCAUCCCCAGUAAUAACAUUGGGACUAAGUCAAAUGCCUGCUUGCUUGGGACCGUCCCAGCCGAGUGCCAGUGCAGGGACCUGGAGCUGGACUGUGACGGUGCACACUUUAAAGAUGUCCCCACAGUAUCCAUUAAUGUCACCAUGAUGUCUCUGCAGAGGAACCGGCUGCGGAAGCUAAAUGCUGACAUGUUCUUUAUGUACCAGAGCCUUCAAAAGCUGUAUCUCCAGCACAACCGCAUUAAAGCGGUGCACCCGCAUGCUUUCAGAGGGCUUUACAAUCUGACGAGACUGUAUCUCAGUUCUAAUCAAAUUACCACCCUACUUCCUGAUGUAUUCCAGGAUUUGCACAAACUAGAAUGGCUGAUUCUGGAGAACAACAAUAUUCAUCACAUCUCCUCUUUGACCUUCACUGGUUUGCGCUCCCUUGUGCUGCUAGUAUUGUUGAACAAUGCUCUCACAAAGCUUGACGAUAUUUGCCUGGAGAUGCCACGGUUAAAUUGGCUAGACGUUGAGGGAAAUAAGAUUGAAACUGUGGGAAAUGUGACCUUCAGGUCCUGUAACAUGCUAACAGUGCUGGUCCUCCAGCGGAACUGCAUUAGUUACAUACACUUGCAGGCUUUCUCUCUGCUUCGUAAACUGGGCGAGCUGGAUUUGUCCAAUAACAGAAUCAAAGCAAUCCCUCCUGAUCUUUUUGUCAAUCUUGGAGACCUGCUUCAGCUGAAUAUUUCAUAUAACCCUAUUAUGGACCUCCAAGUGGACCACUUUGACAAGCUGCAUAAGUUAAAGUCACUGAGCAUUGAGGGAAUCGAAAUUGGGAACAUCCACAGAAGGAUGUUUGAACCUCUCAAGAACCUGACUCACAUCUACUUUAAAAAGUUUCAGUACUGUGGCUAUGCGCCUCACGUCCGCAGCUGCAAGCCCAACACUGAUGGCAUCUCAUCUUUCGAGGACCUUUUGGCAAACAUCGUGCUGCGUGUCUUUGUCUGGGUUGUCUCGGCAACGACAUGCUUCGGCAACAUCUUUGUGAUCUGCAUGCGAUCCUACAUUCGCUCGGAGAACAAGCUCCACGCCAUGUGCAUCAUCUCUUUAUGCUGUGCAGAUGGUCUGAUGGGUGUCUACCUCUUCAUGAUUGGCGCCUAUGACCUGAAGUUCCGAGGCGAGUAUAACCGUCACGCUCAGGCCUGGAUGGAUAGUGCACCCUGUCAGGUGAUUGGAUCUCUAGCCAUGCUGUCAACAGAGGUGUCAGUGCUGCUCCUCACAUACCUCACCCUGGAGAAAUACAUCUGCAUUGUCUACCCGUUCCGGUACCUGACCCCUGGCCGCAGACGCACUGUUACCAUUUUGGUGGUCAUCUGGAUCUUGGGCUUUGUUAUUGCUUUCCUGCCACUGGUCUUUAAAGGGGUUUUUAAAAACUUCUAUGGUACCAAUGGCGUUUGUUUCCCUCUGCACUCUGAGCAGCCAGAGACUCUCGGAGCCCAAAUCUACUCCAUUGUGAUCUUUCUGGGUCUCAAUCUGGUGGCUUUUCUCAUCAUCGUUCUCUCUUAUGGAAGCAUGUUUUACAAUAUCCAGAGAACAGGAACACAGACGACCAAAUACACCAACCACAUUAAGAAAGAGCUGACCAUUGCCAAACGCUUCUUCUCCAUUGUCAUCACCGAUUCACUGUGCUGGAUUCCCAUUUUCAUUCUCAAGAUUCUUUCACUAAUGGAGGUCGAAAUCCCCGGAACCAUCAGCUCGUGGGUCGUCAUCUUCAUUCUGCCGAUCAACAGCGCUCUGAACCCCAUCUUGUACACGCUGACCACACGGCCCUUUAAAGAGACACUGCUGCAGGUGUGGUCCAACUACAGGCUGCGGAGACCCCUGUUCAGCAGCCAUCCACCUCACCUACCUUCCUUUACCUGGCAGGAAAUGUGGCCUCUGCAGGAAAACAGCCAAACCCUUUGCUCCCCGGACGACCUGGCACAUCCGACUGAAAUGUCACACAACUCCGGGACCACCCAGUUACUUCACGUGGAGGGGCCGAACGGGACAUGAGGUGGUCUGAUGUGGUCCUGCCAUCUGCAUCCGACAGCACAUACAUUUAUUUACAUUUUUUUUGUAUGUUUGUGGAUGUCUCCAUGCAGGGAUAAUAAUGAUGCACUGCAUAGAGAGAGAGAGAGAGAGAGAGAGAGAGAGAGAAUGACAAAAAGAGACGAAGAUGGAGAGCAAGAUCUUUGCAACCCCUGCU